UUAUGUGCACGUUGAGAAUUUUAGCAUCUCCUAGUAGUUAGCUUGGAGACUGCGGUCAAGUGAAUUUUUCUGUGGUUUGGCUUGUAUUCCUUCCUAUUGGAUGUUUAGGGUCACAUGAGUGGGGUAAUGCAGGAAGCCAUUUUAGUAUUGGGAUUUGCACAGUGAGGUAUACCAAAGGUCUCCCUGUUUAAUCCUUCAGCAUCCACCUGUGUUAUGCCAUGGAGAAGCUUUGUUUUUUCACAAGUUCUGGGAAAGCACUGUAAGAUGUACAUUGAUGAAGACAAACAA